AGGGUUUACAAUAUCAGACAGAUGGGAAAUGAGCAGCAAGGAAUAGAAAUAUGGGAUUUCCACAACUUCAAGCAAAGCAUGCCAGAUCAGAAAAAUGCAGGAAACACUGAUGAUGUACUGGCUAUGAUACUUUCAGCUCAUGUUCAAGGUGUUCUUAUUCUGCCUAGUAAAUCCCAGACUAAAUCAGCUCCUGACAACUUUGGAAUAUUCAGUUUCCUGAAUAUCAUCAGAAAAUUCUUAAAUCAAAGCCUUAUUUUUUAUACCCCUAACAUUAUCUAUCUAUCUAUCUAUCUAUCUAUCUAUCUAUCUAUCUAUCUAUCUAUCUAUCUAUCUAUCUAUCUAUCUAUC
rnacentral:lncRNA from 1 species